AACGAACGCUGGCGGCAGGCCUAACACAUGCAAGUCGAGCGAAGCCUUCGGGCUUAGCGGCGGACGGGUGAGUAACGCGUGGGAACGUGCCCUUUGCUACGGAAUAGCCCCGGGAAACUGGGAGUAAUACCGUAUGUGCCCUUCGGGGGAAAGAUUUAUCGGCAAAGGAUCGGCCCGCGUUGGAUUAGGUAGUUGGUGGGGUAAUGGCCUACCAAGCCGACGAUCCAUAGCUGGUUUGAGAGGAUGAUCAGCCACACUGGGACUGAGACACGGCCCAGACUCCUACGGGAGGCAGCAGUGGGGAAUCUUAGACAAUGGGGGAGACCCUGAUCUAGCCAUGCCGCGUGAUCGAUGAAGGCCUUAGGGUUGUAAAGAUCUUUCGUGGGGGAAGAUAAUGACUGUACCCCAAGAAGAAGCCCCGGCUAACUUCGUGCCAGCCGCCGCGGUAAAAC
rnacentral:rRNA from 1 species